rnacentral:tRNA from 1 species
GCCUGGGUGGCUAAGUCAGUUAAGCAUCUGACUUCUACUCAGUUCUUGAUCUCACAAGAUCAAGCAAGAUUGAUCUCACGAGAUUGUAGGUUCGAACCCCACAUUGGGCU